UCUUGUGAUUACUCCGCCCCUAUAUAACCCUGUGGCUCCCAUUGUGUUCUGUGCGUUUUUGUUGCUUGUACUUGUAUGUCGUUGGUGAGCGGAUUUGAUCCUCCCUGCGUGGAGGCUUCUUGUUUCUUUACGAGCUUUAGUAAAGUUACGUUUUUUCUCUUGAGUUCUGUUUCCUGCGCCUGACUUCAGUCUACCGCAUACACCGACAUCGUGACAGGUCCAUAGAUGUGAAAGUCCUACUGAUUCCUUGGGGCAUGUUGUUGGUGGUGACAGCUGGUAUCCUAGUCACAUGGAAGAUGUGGACAAAGCAUAAGGACAAUAAGGCCAAGGACCAGACAACUAACAACUCAGUGUCUGCUGACCCUGAGCAGGACAUUUCAUACAGCACAGUGAGAUAGACCAGAGAAACAGCACAGCAGCAGGCCCCAUUUCCUGAAGAUGAUGAUGAUGUCACAUACAGCACUGUCAUCCCCCAGCACAAGGCCCAACUAAAAGUACUGGCCAAGGCAGCAGAACCAGAUGAUAAUGUGGUCUACAACUCACUAGCUCUACAGGUGACCACACAGCAGAGGGCAACAGCAGAACAGCAGUGACUGACUGAGUGACCUUGGUGGAGUCCUUAUCCUGGAAGGACAGCCCACUCUCCGCUCCUGUGUCACA